rnacentral:snRNA from 1 species
GUGCUCGCUUUGGCAGCACAUAUACUAAAAUUGGAUCGAUACAGAGAAGAUUAGCAUGGCCCCUGCGAAAGGAUGACACGCAAUCCGUGAAGCGCUCCUUAUUUUC